UACGAAGGUCCCGAGCGUUGUUCGGAAUCACUGGGCGUAAAGGGCGCGUAGGCGGCGUGGUAAGUCAGAUGUGAAAUCCCGGGGCUCAACCCCGGAACUGCAUCCGAUACUGCCGUGCUCGAGGGUUGGAGAGGUAGCUGGAAUUAUCGGUGUAGCAGUGAAAUGCGUGGAUAUCGAUAGGAACACUCGUGGCGAAGGCGAGCUACUGGACAACAUCUGACGCUGAGGCUCGAAGGCCAGGGGAGCAAAAGGG
rnacentral:rRNA from 1 species